AACGCGAAGAACCUUACCUGGGCUCGAACGGCUGGCCAACGGCAGUGGAAACAUUGCUACCCCUUAAAAGGGUCCAGUCGAGGUGCUGCAUGGCUGUCGUCAGCUCGUGUCGUGAGAUGUUGGGUUAAGUCCCGCAACGAGCGCAACCCUUGUCCUGUGUUGCCAUGCCCGAAAGGGCGGAACUCGCAGGAGACCGCCAGCGAUAAGCUGGAGGAAGGUGGGGAUGACGUCAAGUCCUCAUGGCCUUUAUGUCCAGGGCUACACACGUGCUACAAUGGACGGUACAAUACGUCGCUAACCCGCGAGGGGGAGCCAAUCGCAAAAAACCGUUCUCAGUUCGGAUUGCAGGCUGCAACUCGCCUGCAUGAAGCUGGAAUCGCUAGUAAUGGCAGAUCAGCACGCUGCCGUGAAUACGUUCCCGGGCCUUGUACACACCGCUACAGU
rnacentral:rRNA from 1 species